rnacentral:rRNA from 1 species
UACGGGGGGGGCAAGCGUUGUUCGGAAUUACUGGGCGUAAAGGGCUCGUAGGCGGCCAACUAAGUCAGACGUGAAAUCCCUCGGCUUAACCGGGGAACUGCGUCUGAUACUGGAUGGCUUGAGAUUGGGAGAGGGAUGCGGAAUUCCAGGUGUAGCGGUGAAAUGCGUAGAUAUCUGGAGGAACACCGGUGGCGAAGGCGGCAUCCUGGGCCAACACUGACGCUGAGUGAGCGAAAGCCAGGGGAGCAAACGGG